GGGCGAUUAGCUCAGUCGGAAGAGCGCUACGUUCACAUCGUAGAAGUCGUGGGAUCGAGGCCCGCAUCGCCCACAA
rnacentral:tRNA from 1 species